GACGAACGCUGGCGGCGUGCUUAACACAUGCAAGUCGAACGAAGAGCGAUGGAAGCUUGCUUCUAUCAAUCUUAGUGGCGAACGGGUGAGUAACGCGUAAUCAACCUGCCCUUCAGAGGGGGACAACAGUUGGAAACGACUGCUAAUACCGCAUACGAUCCAAUCUCGGCAUCGGGACUGGAUGAAAGGUGGCCUCUAUUUAUAAGCUAUCACUGAAGGAGGGGAUUGCGUCUGAUUAGCUAGUUGGAGGGGUAACGGCCCACCAAGGCGAUGAUCAGUAGCCGGUCUGAGAGGAUGAACGGCCACAUUGGGACUGAGACAAGGCCCAGACUCCUAAGGGAGGCAGCAGUGGGGAAUCUUCCGCAAUGGACGAAAGUCUGACGGAGCAACGCCGCGGGAGUGAUGACGGCCUUCGGGUUGUAAAGCUCUGUUAAUCGGGACGAAUGGUUCUUGUGCGAAUAGUGCGAGGAUUUGACGGUACCGGAAGAGAAAGCCACGGCUAACUACGUG
rnacentral:rRNA from 1 species